rnacentral:rRNA from 1 species
AUUAAACGCUGGCGGCAUGCCUUACACAUGCAAGUCGAACGGCAGCACGGGGGCAACCCUGGUGGCGAGUGGCGAACGGGUGAGUAAAGCAUCGGAACGUGCCCUGGAGUGGGGGGAUAACGUAGCGAAAGUUACGCUAAUACCGCAUAUUCUGUGAGCAGGAAAGCAGGGGGAUCGCAAGACCUUGCGCUCUGGGAGCGGCCGAUGUCGGAUUAGCUAGUUGGUGGGGUAAAGGCCUACCAAGGCGACGAUCCGUAGCGGGUCUGAGAGGAUGAUCCGCCACACUGGGACUGAGACACGGCCCAGACUCCUACGGGAGGCAGCAGUGGGGAAUUUUGGACAAUGGGCGAAAGCCUGAUCCAGCCAUGCCGCGUGAGUGAAGAAGGCC